rnacentral:rRNA from 1 species
GAUUUGAUUCUUCGGAUGAAGAUCUUGGUGACUGAGUGGCGGACGGGUGAGUAACGCGUGGGUAACCUGCCUCAUACAGGGGGAUAACAGUUAGAAAUGACUGCUAAUACCGCAUAAGACCACAGCACCGCAUGGUGCAGGGGCAAAAACUCCGGUGGUAUGAGAUGGACCCGCGUCUGAUUAGGUAGUUGGUGGGGUAACGGCCUACCAAGCCGACGAUCAGUAGCCGACCUGAGAGGGUGACCGGCCACAUUGGGACUGAGACACGGCCCAAACUCCUACGGGAGGUAGCAGUGGGGAAUAUUGCACAAUGGGGGAAACCCUGAUGCAGCGACGCCGCGUGAGCGAUGAAGUAUUUCGGUAUGUAAAGCUCUAUCAGCAGGGAAGAAAAUGACGGUACCUGACUAAGAAGCACCGGCUAAAUACGUGCCAGCAGCCGCGGUAAUACGUAUGGUGCAAGCGUUAUCCGGAUUUACUGGGUGUAAAGGGAGCGUAGACGGAGUGGCAAGUCUGAUGUGAAAACCCGGGGCUCAACCCCGGGACUGCAUUGGAAACUGUCAAUCU